rnacentral:rRNA from 1 species
UACAGAGGUCCCAAGCGUUGUUCGGAUUCACUGGGCGUAAAGGGUGCGUAGGCGGUGAGGUAAGUCGGAUGUGAAAUCUCCGGGCUCAACCCGGAAACUGCAUUGGAAACUACCUUGCUUGAGGAUUUGAGGGGGGAUUGGAAUACUUGGUGUAGCAGUGAAAUGCGUAGAUAUCAAGUGGAACACCAGUGGCGAAGGCGAAUCCCUGGAAAAUACCUGACACUGAGGCACGAAAGCUAGGGGAGCAAACAGG